rnacentral:misc_RNA from 1 species
GAUGAAGAACGCAGCGAAAUGCGAUAAGUAAUGUGAAUUGCAGAAUUCAGUGAAUCAUCGAAUCUUUGAACGCAUCUUGCGCUCCUUGGUAUUCUGAGGAGCAUGCCUGUUUGAGUGUCAUUAAAUUCUCAACUACACUGACUUUGAAUUGGUGUGGCUUGGAUUUGGGGGGAAAAUUGUUGUGGGCUUUUUGUAUAGUCUGCUCCCCUGAAAUUGAUUAGCGGUACCUUUGUGGAACUGUCUACAGGUGUGAUAAUUAUCUACAUCCUAGACAUCUGCUGGAAUGCUGCUUUCUAAACCUUACUUGUAUUGACAAUCUUGACCUCAAAUCAGGUAGGACUACCCGCUGAACUUAAGCAUAUCAAUAAGCGGAGGA